CCUUCGGAAGCUCAAUGGGUAGAGCAACGGCCAAAAGCCGUGUGUCGCGGGUUCGACUCCCGCCCGAAACACCU
rnacentral:tRNA from 1 species